rnacentral:misc_RNA from 1 species
AGUCUGGAUUAGUGGCCGAUGGUCAUCACUAUCACAAAGACACUCGGGGGUAAGCGUGAUCCUCAUCCCGACGCCCUGCGUCGAUGUUGGGGUGAAAGGCAUCCUUCUCCUGAGGCGCCCAUGCCGCAGUUCGGGGCAGCAGUCCUUUCGGGGACGCACUCGAUUCUGUAGGCGGACAGCGCCUUGGGGAGCUAAGUGGGGGCAAAUAGAUGGCCCGCGGGGCUCUGCGUCCGGCGUUCACGCGCCGUCGUUCGAGUUCCAAAGGCCGGGUGCCUUCGGGUGCCCCUUCCUUGAUUAACUACUCUGCCCUUUCGGGGGGCUCCGUACGGGUUUCCGUGUCGCGGUGAGCGGCGCCCUCUUGAGGCCGUCGUGAUCCAAAGCCGGACCCGCCCGGAUCCAAGAUAGUUACCUGGUUGAUUCUGCCAGUAGUCAUAUGCUUGUCUC